rnacentral:rRNA from 1 species
AGAGUUUGAUCCUGGCUCAGGAUGAACGCUGGCGGCGUGCCUAACACAUGCAAGUCGAACGAGAAAUUUCACUGAGUAAUCGGAGAAAAAGUAAAGUGGCAGACGGGUGAGUAACACGUAGGUAACCUGCCCUUAAGAGGGGGACAACUCAGGGAAACUUGAGCUAAUACCCCAUAAGACCACAAACUGAGAUAUUAGUGGUAAAAGGAGCAAUCCACUUAAGGAUGGGCCUGCGGCCUAUCAGGUAGUUGGUGAGGUAACGGCCCACCAAGCCUAAGACGGGUAGCCGGUCUGAGAGGACGUACGGCCACACUGGAACUGAGACACGGUCCAGACUCCUACGGGAGGCAGCAGUGGGGAAUUUUGCACAAUGGGCGAAAGCCUGAUGCAGCGACGCCGCGUGGAGGAUGAAGGCCUUCGGGUUGUAAACUCCUUUUGUAGGGGAAAAUAAUGAUGGUACCCUGCGAAUAAGCCACGGCUAACUCUGUGCCAGCAGCCGCGGUAAGACGGAGGAGGCUAGCGUUGUUCGGAAUUACUGGGCGUAAAGCGUGCGCAGGUUGUGAGUUCAGUUGGAUGUGAAAGCCCGGGGCUUAACCUCGGAUGUGCAUCCAAUACUGGCUCGCUGGAGGUUGGAAGAGGAGAGUGGAAUUCCCAGUGUAGAGGUGAAAUUCGUAGAUAUUGGGAAGAACACCAGUGGCGAAGGCGGCUCUCUGGUCCAUACCUGACACUCAUGCACGAAAGCGUGGGGAGCAAACAGGAUUAGAUACCCUGGUAGUCC